UGCGAAUAUUGAUAUGUUCUUUCCCUGCAUGAACCGCCAUUCAGCAUUUAAUUUACAUCACACAAAAGGAUAAACAUAUAAUUAUCAUGGAAUAAAUAUAUCAACAUACAUGGACUACAAUAAAGCAUAAAAUUAGUAACAUAUGAUCUAAAAAUAAAAUGAUACACGACGUUAUUGUUCUUCGUGGUCACGCUGGUGCCAUUGAUUGAAUUCGUUUAACAAUUCAUUGAUUCGAUCUAAAAACGAAUCAUCGAUAUUAGCAGGCGUCUAACUAUUCCCAAAUCCCUGAG
rnacentral:lncRNA from 1 species